rnacentral:rRNA from 1 species
GGCGUGCUUACACAUGCAAGUCGAACGAGAACGGCCCUAGCUUGCUAGGGUGUCAGCCUAAGUGGCGGACGGGUGAGUAAUGUAUAGUUAAUCUGCCCCCUAGAGAGGGAUAACAGUUAGAAAUGACUGCUAAUACCUCAUACUCCUUCUCUCUUAAUGAGAGUCGGGAAAUGUCUUUUCGCUAGGGGAUGAGACUAUAUGGUAUCAGCUUGUUGGUGAGGUAAUGGCUCACCAAGGCAAUGACACCUAGCUGGUCUGAGAGGAUGAUCAGCCACACUGGAACUGAGACACGGUCCAGACUCCUACGGGAGGCAGCAGUGGGGAAUAUUGCACAAUGGAGGAAACUCUGAUGCAGCAACGCCGCGUGGAGGAUGACGCAUUUCGGUGUGUAAACUCCUUUUAUAUGGGAAGAUAAUGACGGUACCAUAUGAAUAAGCACCGGCUAACUCCGUGCCAGCAGCC